CAGAAAUGCUCCAAUAGGCUGUGUUGUAUGUAUUAGAGGGAAAAACAGGUAUACUGCCCCUCUGUGGCUGAGCCCCAGAGUGUGGUGAGGUCCAUGCAAAGCAGUGCUCCCCAUAGGCCAGGCUUCUUGCACAGGACAGCCUACCCUUCCGGGCUGGCCCUGCUUAUUAUCCACAUAGCUUUUUCAGUUCCUACCUAGGAGUACAGCGUGGAAGAGGACAGCCUGGGUCAUGGGUCUCAGAAGUUUUAAGCAUAUAUGGAAAAUGCACCCCUGCCAAGAGUGAUUGCCAGGCACCCUUGACUGUGUGUCUUAUCUGUAUUUCAGAGAUGUUAAAAUGAAAAGCUCUAUGGAUAAGCAAAACACAAGAUAUAUUGCAAAAAGGCAGGCUUUUGGACUCAGACUGGAACUACACCACUAGCUUUCUUGGGUCUCCAGCUUGCUACUGUAGACCUCUGGAUUUUUCAGCCUUCAUGAGGUGAGCCAGUCUCUGAAGAAGCCUGACUAAUACACGAGGGCCCAAAAAACUGCAGGAACCUUUUGUUUGGGGCUCCCUUGAUGGUGAGAAGACGGCCACAUCUGUGCAGAGCUGCCUGACCCUGGACUAGGACUCCACUCCAUGGGAAGCGGGGAGCAAGGAGUCACUGCUUCUUCGGCUCGAGUUCUGGCUUCCUGGGCCCAUGGAGGGAGGAAAGGUGUGCCUAUGUUUGUCCUGUUGCUGUAACUGACCACCUGCCCCUGCGGGCUCAGCCCUCUCCAGUUCAG
rnacentral:lncRNA from 10 species